rnacentral:tRNA from 1 species
GAAGGUUUAGCUCAGUGGUAGAGCACAUGCUUAGCAUACAUGAGGUCCUGGGUUCAAUCCCCAGGACCUCCA